GUAACUGCGGAAGGAUCAUU
rnacentral:rRNA from 1 species